GCUUAUCACCAUUCCAGAUUGAAUAUACCCGAUCUCGUCUGAUCUCGGAAGUAAGCAAUCUCGGGCUUGGUUAGUACUUGGAUGGGUGACCG
rnacentral:rRNA from 1 species